rfam:Clostridium sp. CAG:356 genomic scaffold, scf49
UGAGCAAAUUAAAUAGUCGCUGGUAAAUUUCGAAAGAAAUUACGAGAGGAAAGUCCGGGCUCCAUAGAGCAAAGAUGCUAGAUAACGUCUAGUGAGGGAAACCUUAAGGAAAGUGCAACAGAAAAUAACCGCCUUUAGCUUUUGUUCAAAGGAAUGAAAAUUCCUGAAGUUCUUGUUAAAGUAAAGGUAAGGAUGAAAAGGCGAGGUAAGAGCUCACCGCUGGUAUGGUGACAUACUGGGACAGUGUAAACCCCAUCUGGAGCAACACCUAAGUAGAAGAUUAAGCUUGCUCGGCACCUUCUGAAUUGCGUGGCUUGAGGCAUAUAGCAAUAUAUGUCCUAGAUAAAUGACUAUUUUAAAUGACAGAACCCGGCUUACAGAUUUGCUUAAAAA